rnacentral:sRNA from 1 species
CAGCCAAAUCGAACUCCACCUGGGAGACGU